ACCCGCACAAGCGGUGGAUGAUGUGGUUUAAUUCGAUGACAACGACGAAAACUUACCUACCCUUGACAUGUCAAGAAUUUUGCAGAGAUGUGAAAGUGCUCGAAAGAGAACUUGAACACAGGUGCUGCAUGGCCGUCGUCAGCUCGUGUCGUGAGAUGUUGGGUUAAGUCCCGCAACGAGCGCAACCCUUGUCAUUAGUUGCUACCGCAAAGAGCACUCUAAUGAGACUGCCGGUGACAAACCGGAGGAAGGUGGGGAUGACGUCAGGUCCUCAUGGCCCUUAUGGGUAGGGCUACACACGUCAUACAAUGGCCGGUACAGAGGGCUGCCAACCCGCGAGGGGGAGCCAAUCCCAGAAAACCGGUCGUAGUCCGGAUCGUAGUCUGCAACUCGACUGCGUGAAGUCGGAAUCGCUAGUAAUCGCGGAUCAGCUUGCCGCGGUGAAUACGUUCCCGGGUCUU
rnacentral:rRNA from 1 species